GGAUGGUUACACCCUCCCCUGGGAGCCAGAGACGUGGCAGAAGAAAACCAAGCACUUUGUCCUUGGACUCCUUCAAGCUUGGAGGGGAGACUGGUUGCUGGGAUUAGGACAUUCCUGGUGUUAUUUCAACCAAAUCAAAACCAAAUAACUCUCUGUGCCGGCCAAUUGGAUGCUUCACCCUGGGAAGAACUUGGCCUGCAGGCUCAGAUUUGUGACCAGUGAGGAUGCAGAGACUGUCACCUCCUCAGGAGCGAUCUGCUAAUUCUAGAAUG
rnacentral:lncRNA from 1 species